GACGAACGCUGGCGGCGCGCCUAACACAUGCAAGUCGAACGAGCGAGAGGAGGUUUACUUUCUCAAGCGAGUGGCGAACGGGUGAGUAACGCGUGAGGAACCUGCCUCAAAGAGGGGGACAACAGUUGGAAACGACUGCUAAUACCGCAUAAGCCCACGACCCGGCAUCGGGUAGAGGGAAAAGGAGCAAUCCGCUUUGAGAUGGCCUCGCGUCCGAUUAGCUAGUUGGUGAGGUAAUGGCCCACCAAGGCGACGAUCGGUAGCCGGACUGAGAGGUUGAACGGCCACAUUGGGACUGAGACACGGCCCAGACUCCUACGGGAGGCAGCAGUGGGGAAUAUUGCACAAUGGGGGAAACCCUGAUGCAGCGACGCCGCGUGGAGGAAGAAGGUCUUCGGAUUGUAAACUCCUGUUGUUGAGGAAGAUAAUGACGGUACUCAACAAGGAAGUGACGGCUAACUACGUGCCAGCAGCCGCGGUAAAACGUAGGUCACAAGCGUUGUCCGGAAUUACUGGGUGUAAAGGGAGCGCAGGCGGGAAGACAAGUUGGAAGUGAAAUCCAUGGGCUNCACCCAUGAACUGCUUUCAAACUGUUUUUCUUGAGUAGUGCAGAGGUAGGCGGAAUUCCCGGUGUAGCGGUGGAAUGCGUAGAUAUCGGGAGGAACACCAGUGGCGAAGGCGGCCUACUGGGCACCAACUGACGCUGAGGCUCGAAAGUGUGGGUAGCAAACAGGAUUAGAUACCCUGGUAGUCCACACUGUAAACGAUGAUUACUAGGUGUUGGAGGAUUGACCCCUUCAGUGCCGCAGUUAACACAAUAAGUAAUCCACCUGGGGAGUACGACCGCAAGGUUGAAACUCAAAGGAAUUGACGGGGGCCCGCACAAGCAGUGGAGUAUGUGGUUUAAUUCGACGCAACGCGAAGAACCUUACCAAGUCUUGACAUCCUGCGACGGACAUAGAAAUAUGUUUUUCCUUCGGGACGCAGAGACAGGUGGUGCAUGGUUGUCGUCAGCUCGUGUCGUGAGAUGUUGGGUUAAGUCCCGCAACGAGCGCAACCCUUAUGGUCAGUUACUACGCAAGAGGACUCUGGCCAGACUGCCGUUGACAAAACGGAGGAAGGUGGGGAUGACGUCAAAUCAUCAUGCCCUUUAUGACUUGGGCUACACACGUACUACAAUGGCGUUAAACAAAGAGAAGCAAGACCGCGAGGUGGAGCAAAACUCAGAAACAACGUCCCAGUUCGGACUGCAGGCUGCAACUCGCCUGCACGAAGUCGGAAUUGCUAGUAAUCGCAGAUCAGCACGCUGCGGUGAAUACGUUCCCGGGCCUU
rnacentral:rRNA from 1 species